rnacentral:lncRNA from 1 species
AAGAAUGCAUUUCCUUACGAAUGCUCUCACUUUUUAUUUUACACGUAUAACAGGAAUUUCUGUGAGAUUCAGAGGACUAGACACGGGUUGACCAGCUGAUGGGUGACCUAGGAACAUCCUCCUGCGAGGGAGUCGCGGCUGACUCGUUACGUGAGCGCAGGGAAGCCCUCCUGUUUGUCUGAGUGGAACCGAUCAGCCUGUGACAGCGGGAGCAGGCACUGCCCUCGGACUCCGGUUUUGAAGUGCAGCCCUAUAAAGCCGUCAGCCCUGUGCGCCCUGCAGCCCGUGUUUGGUGGCGCCGUGAAGAAAGCUGUGCCCGCACGCGGCUCAGGACAGACAUCCCUGCAGCUUCUCUCGGGGCCACAGAACUCAAACCACGAGAGAGAAGGAACGUCACACAGAGCUGAGAGGGACAAGUUCAGCCCUGAGGACCUGCUCAGAGCAAAGCGCUGGGGAAGGCCGCCGGGCAAAUGAGGAGUCAAAGGCAGCUCCCGGAGGGUGAUGAGGCGCUUUUCAGCCCCGCCAGAGGUCGGAAGGUCCGAGGGUAAAAUUAUGACUUAGACUGGGAGUGAAAUGAGUUUAGGGGUUGUGUCACAUUAUUCUCCCAAAGAAAGAGCACUAGGCGUGCUGGGUUCCAUGUGCCACGGGCACUGGCAGGUUGAAGGGAGCCCCAGGCGUGGUGUCCACCCACUGUGGCAGGAGGCGGCAGCCACCCCCUAAGCAGGUCACUUCAGGUCUGUUUCAGUAAAAUUCGAUUUACAGCAAACUGUCGUUAUCCUUCUAUUUUAAAGAGCUGAUUCUCAGAAGCAGACGAAUCUUCUUUUCCCUGUUUCCGGUGUUUCGAGGCCUGCUCUUUCUGGUCCUGUUCCUGAUUAGACCAGGCAUUUCCUCUUCAGCUGCGUUCACCUUUGAAGUCAAGGCUCCAAAUAUUAUGAUAUGUAGAAAAUGUUUAUUUAUUGUUGCUCAGUGUCAAUCAAGCAAUUAGGGAUGCCAGACAUAAGGUUGAAAUGCCACCCCCAAAUAAAGUAUUUCAGAGAA